UACAGAGGUCCCCAAGCGUUGUUCGGAUUCACUGGGCGUAAAGGGUGCGUAGGUGGUGAGGUAAGUUUGACGUGAAAGCUCCGAGCUUAACUCGGAAAUUGCGUUGAAUACUAUCUUGCUAGAGGGUUGUAGGGGGGACUGGAAUUCUCGGUGUAGCAGUGAAAUGCGUAGAUAUCGAGAGGAACACCAGUGGCGAAGGCGAGUCCCUGGACAACUCCUGACACUGAGGCACGAAAGCUAGGGGAGCAAACAGGAUUAGAUACCCUGGUAGU
rnacentral:rRNA from 1 species